rnacentral:rRNA from 1 species
GACAGAGGGUGCAAACGUUGUUCGGAAUUACUGGGCGUAAAGCGCGUGUAGGCGGCCCUGCAAGUCGGGUGUGAAAUCCCACGGCUCAACCGUGGAAGUGCACUCGAAACUGCAGGGCUAGAGUCCUGGAGAGGAAGGUGGAAUGCUUGGUGUAGAGGUGAAAUGCGCAGAUAUCAGGAAGAACACCCGUGGCUAAGGCGGCUCUCUAGUACGGUACUGACGCUGAGACGCGAAAGCGUGGGGAGCGAACAGG